CCGUUCUUCGCUGAGCGGCCCGGGCGGCCGGCCUUUUACUUUGAAAAAAUUAGAGUGUUCAAGGCGGGCCCGAUGUGCCCGGAUAAUCGCGCAUGGAAUGAUGGAACAGGACCGCCGUCCCGUUCGGCCGGUCUCAGGGGCGGAGGUAAUGAUUGAAAGGGACGGCCGGGGGCAUUCGUACCGCGGCGGGAGAGGUGAAAUUCGANGAUCGUCGCGAGACGGCCGAGAGCGAAAGCAUUUUCAAGAGCCCUUUAUUUAAUCAAGAACGAAAGUCGGAGGUUCAAAGACGAUCAGAUACCGUCGUAGUUCCGACCGUAAACGAAGCCGACCGGCGAUUCGCGGAAUUCUCGCACGGAUUGCGCGGCGGCCCCCGGGAAACCCGAGUCUCUGGGUUCCGGGGGGAGUAUGGUCGCAAAGCUGAAACUUAAAGGAAUUGACGGAAGGGCACCACCAGGAGUGGGGUCUGCGGCUUAAUUUGACUCAACACGGGAAAACUCACCCGGUCCGGACACCGCUAGGAUUGACAGACCGAGGCUCUUUCUUGAUUCGGUGGGUGGUGGUGCAUGGCCGUUCUUAGUUGGUGGAGCGAUCUGUCUGGUUAAUUCCGAUAACGAACGAGACUCCGGCCUGCUAGUUAGCGCGACGGCGUCCGGCGGCCGUCAGCUUCUCGUCACCCGGCUUCGGUCGGUGUGGCGGUAGCCGGUCGCCCGCCGUCGCGACCCCGAGGCUUCUUAGAGGGACGGGCGGUGGCCAGCCGCACGAGAAGGAGCGAUAACAGGUCUGUGAUGCCCUUAGACGUCCGGGGCCGCACGCGUGCUACACUGGGGGAGUCAAUGCGGACGUCUUCCCGGCCCGAAGGGCGUCGGGAAAGCCGCUGAGUCUCCCCCGUGCUCGGGAUCGGGGCUUGACCAUUGUGCCCCGUAAACGAGGAAUUCCCCGUAGGCGCCGGUCAUAACCCGGCGCCGAUUACGUCCCUGCCCUUUGUACACACCGCCCGUCGCUACCAUCGGUGAACGGUCUAGCGAGGGAUUCGGACCGGCGCGAAGUCCUCCCUUCAUCGGUUGGGCUUCUCGCCAGAAAGAUUCCCGAACUCGGUCGCUCGGAGAUAGUAAAAGU
rnacentral:rRNA from 1 species